CAGCAGCCGCGGGAAUACGAAGGGUGCAAGCGUUAAUCGGAAUUACUGGGCGUAAAGCGUGCGUAGGCGGUUUGUUAAGUCUGCUGUGAAAUCCCCGGGCUCAACCUGGGAAUGGCAGUGGAUACUGGCAAGCUAGAGUGUGUCAGAGGAUGGUGGAAUUCCCGGUGUAGCGGUGAAAUGCGUAGAGAUCGGGAGGAACAUCAGUGGCGAAGGCGGCCAUCUGGGACAACACUGACGCUGAGGCACGAAAGCGUGGGGAGCAAACAGGAUUAGACACCCAGUAGUCCCUGUCUCUUAUACA
rnacentral:rRNA from 1 species